AUAAUAUUCCUCCAAUCCCUUGCCCUACUUUCCAGAAGAAACGAGACGUCGCGAUCGGAUGGCUUUCGCAAUCGCCUUCCUCUCUUGCUCACUCUCCGCUCCGGCCCUUUCCUUGUCUACAGUCCCCCUCUUCCAUCUCCAUCCUCGCUUCCUUCGCCUUCAGAUUGUGCCGCUCGUUCAUCGCUCCUUCGGCUCCGUCAGCAGAUUCCCACGGAAGAUUCGCUUGAACUAUCCUCGGUCUUUCAAUUCACCUGAUAUAUUAGGAUCUUCCUCCCCGACAGAUCUCUGAUCAAGAUGACUCACUCCCGAUGCCGAUAGUUCAUAUGGAUCAAGAUUCAGAAGCUUAUGCGACAACUGUGCAACUUAGCUCUGGGGACCGUUUAGGAGCACUAGUUGCCAAGGUUGUCCGAUGAGGUGUAUCUUGGUUGUUUGUGGGUGCAAUGGGCAGGGUCGAAGGCGUUGCCGACCUGGCACAUGUCUUUUCUCCAUGAUGAUAUUGGUCCAUAGAUGUCAUCGUUGAAGCUCUUAGAUUCCGGCCAUAUCCUUAUAAAAGAAUAUUAUUAUUCUAUUCUAUUUCCUUCAUUUUAUUAUUCAUUAAAUCUACUUAAUGUAUAUAUGUUCAUAAAUAUCCAGAGAAUUGGAGUUCAGAAAGAGCCAUGUAUCAACGAUUCCUAUGAUGAUGUCGUCUCCAUAGUUGCUCUUCUCGAGGAGUUGAGUCGGAUGAUCAUACUGCAGUCCCAGAAAAUCCCAGCUCCGUGUUGUUUGCUAGCUCGCUGUUUCUGCUCGGCUGUACACUGAUCACGUCAGGUGACUCUGCAAUAUUCAUUAAUUCGCUCAGUUAAUUCUUCAUUUGUUGUGUUUAAUUCGAUUCAAAAAAACAUAAGGCGAAGUGACUUGCUAAUUGUUCUGCUUGCUCUUCUGUAAGCAUGGCUGCAAAGUCUGAGAAGCCAUGCAUGUAGCUGUAAACUAUAGAAUCCAGGGCAUCCUUUUUGCUGUCGAAGAAGAUACCAAUCAAUUAAAAUAUAGAACCCAAGAUUAUAUAGCAAUUUGAAUUUUUAUAGUUGAGUUGGGUACCUUCCAAGGAGACAAGUGAGCAUAUCUAGAUGUGAGUCGGUGACAUGCUCUGGACUCUCAUGCUUCCUCUCUCCCAAGUAUACAAUAUACAACUGCACAAACAACCAAGAGGCAUAAAAAUAAACCUGAAGUCAAAAUAAUAACUAAGAUAUGUCAACAACAAGAAAGUCACAGAAAGAGCCAACUAUAGAAAGUGCUACAUGUUAUUUGUAUACAUAUUUAGAAAGAUUUUAGAUGAUUACUAAUAAGAACUUGAGUAAAUAUAUAUAGUAUUUUCAAAUAGAAAUCUCAUACAUGCAAAAUAAGAUUUAAAUGAAUCAAUUGUUUGUGGACAGGCUUAGCACACUUAGUUUGUUAACAGCUUGGUUAUUAUCGUUUGACAAGAUAAGUGAACAAACUUUAAUAUUGUUGAUGAACAAUCUUUAUUGGCAAUUCAUGAAUAAUGUUGGUGAACAAGUUUUUCUUGUUUAAAUAGUUAAUAAAAGAUACAUAUAAAUGUUUAAAAAAUUAUUGUUCUAACUAAAUAACUUCAUGACCGUAUUAGUUUCAAUUAUUUAUAUACAAAAUAGAAAAUGCAAAGAUAUCUAUUCUGUUAACAUAAAAGAAAUGAUGAAGACGGGUUUAAACAACAAGGCCUUGAGAAUAAAUUUAAAGCUCAUACCAAUUGAGCCAUUAGACAUUUUCAUAAGCAGAUAAUUGCUUAAGAUCCAUUUGUAAUGUAAGAGAAAGAAAGUGCACAUCAAAAUCAAAUGAUAAAGAUGAGACUAUCCUAAAACCUUGGCAACAACUUCAACUUGGUAGAGCUUCUUGCGAUUGUGUUGGGGACACAGGACAUUUCAAAGGAGGAAGGUAGAGCUUCUCAUGUCAAUGAUCUAAAUAUUACUAGUGAUUUACAUUACAUAAAUUUAAUAGAUGGAUAAGACUCAUUUAAUCAAUCUUGAGCUGUGUGAAUAAUUCGUGAGCUUCUUUGUUGAAAAGUAUAUAGUUGAAGUUGUUGCCAAGGUUUUAGGAUAGUCUCAUCUUUAUCAUUUGGUUUUGAUCUGCACUUUCUUUCUCUUACAUUGCAAACGGAUCUUAAGCAAUUAUCUGCUUAUGAAAAUGUCUAGUGGCUCAAUUGGUAUGAGCUUUAAAUUUAUUCUCAAGGCCUUGUUGUUCAAACCCGUCUUCAUCAUUUCUUUUAUAUUAACAGAAUAGAUAUUUUUGCAUUUUCUAUUUUGUAUGUAAAUAAUUGAAGCUAAUACGGCCAGGAAGUCAUUUAGUUAAAACAAUAAUUUUUUAAACAGUUAUAUGUAUCUUUUAUUAACUAUUUUAACAAGAAAAACUUGUUCACCAGCAUUGUUCAUGAAUUGCCAAUAAACAUUGUUCAUCAACAAUAUUGAAGCUUGUUCAGUUAUCUUGUCAAACGAUAAUAACCAAGCUGUUAACAAACUAAGUGUGCUAAGCCUGUCCACAAACAAUUGAUUCAUUUAAAUCUUAUUUUGCAUGUAUGAGAUUUCUAUUUGAAAAUAUUAUAUUUAUAUACUCAAGUUCUUAUUAGUAAUCAUCUAAAAUAUUUCUAAAUAUGUAUACAAAUAACAUGUAGCACUUUUUAUAGUUGGCUCUUUCUGUGGCUUUCUUGUUAUUGUCAUAUCUUAGGUAUUAUUUCGACUCCAAGUUUAUUUUUAUGCCUCUUGGUUGUUUGUGCAAUUAUAUAUUAUAUACUUGGGAGAGAGGAAGCAUGAGAAUCCAAAGCAUGUCACCGACUCACUCCUAGAUAUGCUCACUUGUCUCCUUGGAAGGUACCCAACACAACUAUAGAAAUUCAAAUUGCUAUAGAAUCUUGGGUUCUAUAUUUUAACUGAUUGGUAUCUUCUUCGACAUUAAAAAUGAUGUCCUGGAUUCUAUAGUUUACAAUUACAUGCAUGGCUUCUUAGGCUUUGUAGUCAUGAUUAUAGAAAAGCAAGCAGAAUAAUUAGCAGGUCACUUCGCCUAAUGCUUUUUUGAAUCGGAUUAAACACAACGAAUGAGGAAUUAAUUGAGCGAAUUAAUGAAUAUUGCAGAGUCAUUUGACGUGAUCAGUGUACAGCCGGGUAGAAACUGCGAGCUAGCAAACAACAUGGAGCUGGGAUUUUCUGGGACUGCAGUAUGAUCAUCCAACUCAACUUCUCGAGAAGAAUAACUAUGGAGACGACAUCAUCACAGGAAUCGUUGAUACAUAGCUCUUUCUGAACUCCAAUUCUCUGGAUAUUUAUGAACAUAUAUAGAUUAAGUAGAUUUAAUGGAUAAUAAAAUGAAGGAAAUGGAAUAGAAUAAUAAUAUUCUUUUAUAGGGAUAUGGCCAGAAUCCAAGAGCUUCAACGAUAACAGCUAUGGACCAAUACCAUCAUGGUGGAAAGGCGUGUGCCAGGUCGGCAAAGCCUUCGCCCCUGCCUAUUGCACCCGCAAGAUCAUCUGCGAACACUACUACAACGCCGGAAUCGACCCCACCGAGCUCGAGAAGAACUUCCUCUCUCCCCGUUACUUCAUCGGCCAUGAGACCAUCACCUUCUCUGUUGCCACUGGCUCCAUUGUGCAUGUCGCCAAAUUCCACGGCUUGGCCACAGGGGUUGCCCCGCCGGCGCGCCCCACACCUGCCUCGCAAUGUCCAAGGCCGUGUGGAGCAGUGGCUGUGGGAUUGGUGCUGGCAACAGCGUCACCGUCCUGGUGGCUAUCGACGACACCAUCCACAACAGGGUGGAUGUGUUGUCGCUGAUUGUGUUGUACGAGGACUCAUUUGGUGCACUGCAUGCAGUGGCGAAGGGGGUGAUGGUGGUGUACGCGGUCGGGAACUCUAUGCCGAUGCCACAAACCGUGGCCAACACCACGCCGUGGGUCAUCACAGUCACCGCGAGCAUGAUCAAUCAAGCGUUUCCAACCUUGAUCAGGCUGGGAAACAGCCGAGCGUUUGUGGUGGAAGAAUAGUGGAUCCAGCCGCAGCAAAGUUGCAACCAUUCUGAAAGCUUGGCAUACCAAUUGAAUUCAAGUAUGCAUUCAGGAAGGGGCAAUCCAUCCACUGCAACACUGAAUUAAACUGAUUAGCCAAGCAACACAAAAUGGUAUCAUAGGAUAAAGCUUGCAGCAUAGAAGCUAAAAUAGCCAGAAGAGGGAAAAUAAAUUAGCAACUGCAAAGUGUAACUGAUUAGCCAAGCAACACAAAAUGGUAUCAUAGGAUAAAGCUUGCAGCAUAGAAGCUAAAAUAGCCAGAAGAGGGAAAAUAAAUUAGCAACUGCAAAGUGUCCUAACCAGUUAGGACUCGGAUCACAUUGUCUUUAAUGCCUUCUUCCUUCCUUCAUGUUCAGACACUUUGACUUGUAGUAGGUUACUUCAGAUUUUGACUUCGAAGUUUAAUUCACACCUGCUACUUACUCUUGCUCUUGGAUCA